AUUUUUUACCAGAAAUAUAUAGUAGUUAAGGUGUAACAAUGAAAGUCUGAUUAUUUUGCCUGUUUUCAAAAUUAAAUUGAGACUGUUAUCUCAACUACACCAAUCAAUCAAUCUCCUACGGAUGUUUUCCACUCUACGUGACAUUGGCGGAAUCAACCGUGCUUCUCUGGCACAACUGAAAGCCAUUAUACCAAUCAAUCAAUAAAUUUCAGAUAUUAAUGAAUCUCAAACUGUACUAGCAACAAAAAAUGACACAUUGGCUUUGGCAGUGGCAGCUCUGUUUGAAUGAUUUAAGAUUUUUGAAAUAGACAAACUUACUUUAAUAAAAAUA
rnacentral:misc_RNA from 1 species